rnacentral:rRNA from 1 species
UACGUAGGUGGCAAGCGUUGUCCGGAUUUACUGGGCGUAAAGGGCGUGCAGGCGGUUUGUUAAGUCUAGGGUGAAAGCUCCCGGCUCAACUGGGAGAGGUCCUUGGAUACUGGCGAACUUGAGGGAUGCAGAGGAAAGUGGAAUUCCCGGUGUAGUGGUGAUAUGCGUAGAUAUCGGGAGGAACACCAGUGGCGAAGGCGACUUCCUGGCCUGUUCUUGACGCUGAGGCGCGAAAGCUAGGGUAGCAAACGGG